AUGAAAUAUUAUGCUGAUAAGAAGAGGAAGGAAAGGGAGUUCUCUGAGGGAGACAUGGUUUAUCUUAAGCUGCAACCAUACAGGCACACUUCCCUGAGUUUGCAUAGGCAUCUGAAGCUUCAUUCUAAGUUUUAUGGCCCGUUUCGAGUGUUGGAGCGAAUUGGUAAUCAUGCCUACAAACUGCUGCUGCCGGAGGGCCGUAUGCUGCAUAACACCUUUCAUGUCAGUCAGUUGAAGAAACAUAUUGGCCCUGCUGUGGUGCCCUCUCGUCAUCUUCCGCUUGUUGGUCCUGAUGGUGUGAUUAAAGUGGAACCAGAAGCAAUAUUGGAAAGCAAACUUAUUCCUCGUCCUCAGGGCAAAAUCAGUAUCCCCGUGGUCAGGUGGUUGGUGAAGUGGGUGAAUUUGCCAGUAGAAGAAGCAACGUGGGAGGAUUCGGCGUUCAUCCAGAAGGUUUUCCCUUCCUUUCGUGCUUGA
rnacentral:rRNA from 1 species